AUACGGAGGGUGCGAGCGUUAAUCGGAAUUACUGGGCGUAAAGCGUACGUAGGCGGUUGGUUAAGUUAGAUGUGAAAGCCCCGGGCUUAACCUGGGAACUGCAUUUAAAACUGGCGAACUAGAGUUGAGUAGAGGGGAGUGGAAUUUCAGGUGUAGCGGUGAAAUGCGUAGAGAUCUGAAGGAACACCAGUGGCGAAGGCGACUCCCUGGACUAAAACUGACGCUGAGGUACGAAAGCGUGGGUAGCAAACAGGAGUAGAAACCCCAGUAGUCC
rnacentral:rRNA from 1 species